rnacentral:tRNA from 1 species
GGGGAUGUAACUUAGUGGUAGAGCGUUUGCCUAGCAGGCAUGGAGCUCUAGGUUCAAUCCCCAGUACCACCA